AACUUUUCUAAAUUCCUCAGUUAAUUUACAAAAGCUCAUUGUAUAAACUACUCGGUCACAGUAAUUUCAACACACAAAGUAGGAAAUGUUUUUUGAUUUCUGCUAUAAGUCUUAAAAGUAGUAUUCUUGAAGAAUAUGAUCCCAAACCCUUAUUUAUGUGCAAAUAUUUGAAAACACUACAAGCCGUUCACGUAAGUACAUGCAACUCAAGGGAGAUAACAGGACAGAGGUUACAUUUCGUAUUGACUAAAGUCAACUGCACCUCCUCUGACUGAUGGACAACAUGUAUCACCUCCUUUUGAUGUAUAAACUCA